rnacentral:lncRNA from 1 species
UAAACACCAACUACCAGUUCAGGUUUCAAUAAAGCUUAGGUUCGGUCUCAGUUUCAGUCUGAAUGACCCCAUGUUAUUCCAAAAAUUGUCCAUUUUAAGCUUGCUAAUACAAAAUUAGCAUAUAUCCAAAUCUGUUGCCUGGGAAAGACUGGUAAUCAGGGCCAGAUGGCUACCAUAAGUUUUAAAAACAAUGUAUGCUUAACAAAAUCAUAUAAACAUCUUGUUAAUUAUCUAUUGUCACAGCAGAAAAUGGCAACAGACCACAGCAUAAGAAAUUAAGCUUAGUAAGUUAUGUUUCAAAUUCUCCUGAUCAAAUAAUAAAAGCUCACCUCUGAUUAAAUAACACAAAUUAACUUCUGUCUGCACCUUUUACAAGAUGAGUCUAAACACUGUUUCAAACAUCAGCUAUAAACAGGAUCUGUGUACUUAAGUCAUUCUUCUACUCCCUCCAAGAAGGUUAAAAGUUCAUUAAAAAUCCCAGCCAGUACUAUACAUUAACACCUGUCCCUCUCAUAAGAAUUCUAGUGGUCCCAGUUCAGGAAGACAGCUGUCCUGCAGCAUUUAUUUAUGUGUGUGUAUGUGUAUACAUACAUAUAUAUAUAUAUAUAUAUAUAUAUAUAUAUAUGUACUUGUCUCUGCAUGAACAAAAUUUGCCUUCUUAAAGAUCCUGCUACUACUGUACAGGUCUAGCAGGUGCAUGUAUCAACUCAGGUUGAUUCACUGCCACUUCCAUAAAACAUAUCCAUGCAAUCCAAAUUUGCAGCUAUUGAUUUUUUAAUUUAACAUUUCCACUACUACAAUAUUUUUGCUUGUUUAUGUUCAUUAUCAGAAUAGCUAUUAAAGCUAAACCAACCCCCAGACUUGGCGGGCCACAGGGACUGAAUUCCUGAGCAAUUCCAGAAAGCAGUGGGGCAAUUAUACGUCCCACUGAUGUCACAGACUGUCCAACGCCCAGGAGCGUACCGCUGGCCUCAUUCCCACCGAUGGUCAAUUCGAGGUCGAUGAUGCAAGUACGGCCUAUAGUAGUUGAAAAGGCUAAGAAUGUGGAAGACAAAACGACCAUCCACAUGCCAGGUGCUGAUGCAUACAGAAGAAUCAACACGCAGGGUAACAUCCAGACAAGACCUAUACGGAGA